rnacentral:misc_RNA from 1 species
UUAAAUAAUGGAAUUGGAAACAGUAUAACAGAAUUGGCUGAAUCAGUCAGAAAAAGCAGAUAUUUAAAACCAUGAUGAUAUGGAAAUGUAACAAAGUUUAGAUAAAUUGUGUUUCCUGGAAGUGAUUGAUCCAUUUAUGUAAGCAGCAAUAGAUUCCAUUUGUUCUUGACUGGGCAACCUUCUUCUCUGCUUGUAGUCUACAAGUCAAUUUUAAAAUUUUGUAUUGGAGAACACAUUGUUCCAGAUUCUCUAUUCUUCUUAGAAGACAUACAUUGGUGAGUUGCAGUCUCUGGAAAUUUACUUAGAUUAGAUAGAAUAAAAGGUGAUAUAGUUGCUAUAAGCACCCACAAAGAAUGCUGGUGAUUCCUUUCACUUAUAUGUUAUUCAAAAGUGUGAUAGAAAUUGAUCUGAGAAGUUUUACCUGAUCUUAAAUCUAUGAACAUAAAA